AUUGAACGCUGGCGGCAUGCCUUACACAUGCAAGUCGAACGGCAGCACGGGAGCAAUCCUGGUGGCGAGUGGCGAACGGGUGAGUAAUAUAUCGGAACGUGCCUAGUCGUGGGGGAUAACGUAGCGAGAGCUACGCUAAUAACGCAUACGAUCCAUGGAUGAAAGUGGGGGACCGCAAGACCACGCGCGAUAGGAGCAGUCGAUAUCAGAUUAGGUAGUUGGUGAGGUAAAGGCUCACCAAGCCGACGAACUGUAGCUGGUCUCAGAGGACGACCAGCCACACUGGGACUGAGACACGGCCCAGACUCCUACGUGAGGCAGCAGUGGGGAAUUUUGGACAAUGGGCGCAAGCCUGAUCCAGCAAUGCCGCGUGCAGGAUGAAGGCCUUCGGGUUGUAAACUGCUUUUGUACGGAACGAAACGGCGAGCUCUAAUACAGUUUGCUAAUGACGGUACCGUAAGAAUAAGCACCGGCUAACUACGUGCCAGCCGCCGCGGUAA
rnacentral:rRNA from 1 species